CAGUCGACGGUUAAGCUCUUCGGAUGUGUAUAAAGUGGCGAACGGCUGAGUAACACGUGGGCAACCUGCCCUUUGCACUGGGAUAGCCUCGGGAAACCGAGGUUAAUACCGGAUACUCCAUAUUUGUCGCAUGGCGAAUAUGGGAAAGCUCCGGCGGCAAAGGAUGGGCCCGCGGCCUGUUAGCUAGUUGGUAGGGUAGUGGCCUACCAAGGCAAUGAUGGGUAGCCGGGUUGAGAGACCGACCGGCCAGAUUGGGACUGAGACACGGCCCAGACUCCUACGGGAGGCAGCAGUGGGGAAUCUUGCACAAUGGGCGAAAGCCUGAUGCAGCGACGCCGCGUGCGGGAUGAAGGCCUUCGGGUUGUAAACCGCUUUCAGCAGGGACGAGGCCGCAAGGUGACGGUACCUGCAGAAGAAGCCCCGGCUAACUACGUGCCAGCAGCCGCGGUAAUACGUAGGGGGCAAGCGUUAUCCGGAUUCAUUGGGCGUAAAGCGCGCGUAGGCGGUCUGUUAGGUCAGGAGUUAAAUCUGGGGGCUCAACCCCUAUCCGCUCCUGAUACCGGCAGGCUUGAGUCUGGUAGGGGAAGAUGGAAUUCCAAGUGUAGCGGUGAAAUGCGCAGAUAUUUGGAAGAACACCGGUGGCGAAGGCGGUCUUCUGGGCCAUGACUGACGCUGAGGCGCGAAAGCUAGGGGAGCGAACAGGAUUAGAUACCC
rnacentral:rRNA from 1 species